AAAGAAUUAGUUAAAUAAAUAACCUAAAUUUGUCAAAUUUAAAUUAUAUACAAUGCUAAAAUAUAUUCUUUA
rnacentral:tRNA from 1 species